ACACGAACACUUACAAUCAGACGGUUAGGGACUGUGAGUAACAGCAGAUCGCAGAAGUGUCGACAAGACGCAAAGCCAAGAGGCAGCAGAAGUCAGCUAGCCAGCCAACAGCAGCUGGAAUAUGCGAUGGUCGCUGGUGUGCCGUACUGUGUGACGUGUUGAUUGAGUGCUCGGUUGGUGUAAGCGACGGCUGCUCACAGUUUUUCGUCGUUCGUUGGCCUUUGGCCGUUGGUAGAUGGUGUGCUGAUGAAUUCUACCGUUCAGUUGGUUGGAUGGUCGGUUGCCAGCUUGACGCGCUGUGCUGUGGUGUUGUGUCGUGUUGUGUAUUUGAAGUGAACAGGGUACUGAAACGACUGCGCAUUACUUUCAAUAAUUAGCGCAAAAUGAGUGGAAUUAACACAGAAACAAUAAAAAAGUAACCGAUAAUGGAAGCUAAUAUUUUGAAAAUUUUCGACAUUAGUUAUUGUUUAUUUUCAAGUAUGCGAAUAUAUGUACAUAAACAAAUAAGUUAGUUUAUAGACAUUUGUUUGAAUGUUCGAAAACUGUGCGAUUUACUGAUUUUCACAAAUGAAAAAAAGGUACGAUCGAAAAAAGCAAAAUAAGUGCUUGUAAUGAGAAAUAACGUCUAAAUGCAAAAGUGCGAAAUAAAAAUUGAAAUAAACGCAUAUAAUUAAUAACUAAAAAUGUUUGCGAACUACGCAGUUGACCAAAUCGCUACGACGCGGUCAUGGAGCUUGGCGAAUGCACAGCUGUCUUUAGCAAAGUCACUAGCCAGUGUCGUUGGAGAGGAAGACGGCGAUCAUGGCGUUCAUAGCGAUGGUGUUGACAGUAAUAGAGCGCAGCUCAUAACACAAAAAAAAGCCUGACUUCAGUCUAAAUGCUUUUCCGUGAAGUGUUUGGUGUGUUAUGCUACUGGCGCAAGAAGUGUCAGCGCCGCAGUUGUCGUAUCGUUGUUUCGUUAUACGGGCACACGAAAACUAUUCGACCUACCGAAUUGUUGGUCGCUCUAUAAAUGCGCUCAGACAUUUCGUUGACGAAAAGGCUACCGAAAACCGAGGCGGAUUCGGAAUUUAACGAAAAACGAGUAAUGUCGCCGAGCUUAGGUUCUUCUUUAAUUGUUAUUAUUAUUGGUGUUUUUGUUGUAGUUGUCGAGAAUGCCAGCCUCGUCGGUAUGGUUGUCGACGACUUUAUAGCGCCACUUGAACAACUAAUUUAGGGCGAAAACAAUAACAAUAAGCAGAGCAACAAUAAGAAAAACAACAAUGACGACAAUAAUAUUCGUAACAACAAUAAAUGAGGCUAAGACAAUAAAGUGAAAAUGUGAACUUUGAAACAAAUGAUUUUUCUAACCAAUUUAAGAGGCCCAACACACACAUACAUAUGGGGCAGUGGAUUAUAUUUGGAUGAAUUUAGCCCCGAGAAAACAUACAUAUGUACAUAUAUUUUCAUACUUAUUAGGCUAACACAGAAAGCAAUGACAAUCCAUGGUAAAACUGGGGCAAUGACAACCGUUUUUAAGUUAGAUGGUGCCACGCAACAAACUGCAAUGCAAGCGUAAGUGAUUAGGUGGUGGAAGUGGACAUCUGAAAUAUGCUUUCCUAAUUUAGUAGAGGUCUAACGUAUACUAGUAACAUGAUGAUAUGACGUACUUUAUACAAGUACUUGUAUUUACAUGUAUGUAAGAUUUCCUGCUGGGGCUCUGACGACAAUGCGUACAAUUUUAAAUAAUUUGUAAACAUGAUAAUAGAGAGUAUAAAGAAGCUCAAAUGCCAAACAAAAACAACAAUAAUAAACAAUCAGAGGAAAUUAAGCAAUCAACAGUAAUACAAAUUUACUCGAACAAAUAGUAUUCAAAGGGGGAGAGCGGAAGCAGAAACGCCAUCACCGGUUUGCAAAUGAAAUGGAAAUUGAAAAGCUCAGGCAACGACAAUAACAGCGACAGCAACCACUUCAGCGAAAACACUUCCGUCACAAUAAGUACGAGUAAAUGAAACUUAAACAGACUUUGCACCAAUUUUCAAUGGCACGAGCGUCGAGAACAUUGAACUAUUUUCCACUUUUUACGGCGUGUAUAUUUUUAUGGAAAGUGUUGAGUUAUAUUGACGAGAUCCGACUUCUACGCAAACAUAUGCACCUAGUUAAAACGAAUAGAAUACAUAGAUAUAGAUAUAAAAAUGCGGGCAUGCACACAUUCAUGCUCAAAAUCGUACUUGUAUGAAAACGUAAGCGAUUCUAAGCAAAUGAGCAGCGUACAGUGAACAACAAACGAAGUAGUCUACAAUCAGCGAGCAGCAACAGACAGUAACUUACUAGCAACAUCUCGUCUUCCCAAAAAGAAAAUAAUAAUAUUAAUAAUAAUAAUGAAGAAUGACUGAGACUGUCUUUGUUUAUAGCCGACUGGAAUGACAUGAAAUGGUAUGAAACGGAGAAAGCCUGAGACUGGCGCGGAAGUGAGUGCACUCUUAUCUGUAAACCGCGAUCUAUGCCGACUCGACACCAAUCCACAUGAAUAUCGAACACUCACACAUACAAGCAGCGAUGACACCGUUUUACGAAUUAGUCUCGCCGCUUUUGCGUUUAUUGAAUGGGAAAAGUACACCGACAUAAACAGAUAUUUUAUGUAGCUGAGAGCACCCCAAAACGAAAACUGGAAAUUUUCAAAAAGAAAACAAACAUUGGAAGUAUAGCGCUGCUGAUAAGCUGGAGGUACCCACACGCUGUUCCGUCACCAUCUACAGCCAGAACACUCCGGGUCAAUAGUCGUGGAAGCGCCCAAUGCUCCUCCGGGCAGUUGAUUGCCCCAUCAUAGUCGGGGUUUUUAUGCCGUUGUUGUUUUUUCAAUUUGCUGGAUAGCGGCAUAUCAGCGACUGAAACAGUCUCAAAAUGUAGGACAAACGUCAUUGACGCGACCACAGACGCCUCUGCCAACACCGUCUGAAGCGGUAAAGGCGCAUGAAAAAUGAACGGAAUGUCCACACGCUGAAACCACAGAAACAAAAGCCAAAAUGAAAACAAUUUAAAAAUCAUCGACGAUGAAUUAACGUGAAAUGUUUAAUUUGGUAUAAUGGAAGUCCCAGCAAAAUGCAGCUCUUACAGCAUAUGCAACAACAAACACAACCUUACAAAUAUCAAACAUGAAAAUAUCGGAAGUAAUUAAGGUCCUUUUUGCAAAGUAAAUGUGGAUGAUGAGAAAAACUUUAUGUAAGCACACAAUUUUAUUUAAUAUUUCAUUUGUUGUUUAUUUUACUUUUUAUUCGAAUUUCGAAACACCAGGA